UACGUAGGUGGCAAGCGUUGUCCGGAUUUACUGGGCGUAAAGAGCGCGCAGGCGGUCGUUCAAGUCGCGUGUGAAAGCCCCCGGCUCAACUGGGGAGGGUCACGCGAUACUGAUCGACUGGAAGGCAGGAGAGGGUAGUGGAAUUCCCGGUGUAGUGGUGAAAUGCGUAGAUAUCGGGAGGAACACCAGUGGCGAAGGCGGCCAACUGGACGAAUACUGACGCUGAGACACGAAAGCGUGGGGAGCAAACAGG
rnacentral:rRNA from 1 species